UGAGAGCGGCGCACGGGUGCGGAACACGUGUGCAACCUGCCUUUAUCUGGGGGAUAGCCUUUCGAAAGGAAGAUUAAUACCCCAUAAUAUGUUGGAUGGCAUCAUUCGACAUUGAAAACUCCGGUGGAUAGAGAUGGGCACGCGCAGGAUUAGAUAGUUGGUGAGGUAACGGCUCACCAAGUCAACGAUCCUUAGGGGGCCUGAGAGGGUGAUCCCCCACACUGGUACUGAGACACGGACCAGACUCCUACGGGAGGCAGCAGUGAGGAAUAUUGGACAAUGGGUGAGAGCCUGAUCCAGCCAUCCCGCGUGAAGGACGACGGCCCUAUGGGUUGUAAACUUCUUUUGUAUAGGGAUAAACCUACUCUCGUGAGAGUAGCUGAAGGUACUAUACGAAUAAGCACCGGCUAACUCCGUGCCAGCAGCCGCGGUAAUACGGAGGGUGCAAGCGUUAUCCGGAUUUAUUGGGUUUAAAGGGUCCGUAGGCGGAUGUGUAAGUCAGUGGUGAAAUCUCGCAGCUUAACUGUGAAACUGCCAUUGAUACUGCAUGUCUUGAGUGUUGUUGAAGUAGCUGGAAUAAGUAGUGUAGCGGUGAAAUGCAUAGAUAUUACUUAGAACACCAAUUGCGAAGGCAGGUUACUAAGCAACAACUGACGCUGAUGGACGAAAGCGUGGGGAGCGAACAGGAUUAGAUACCCUGGUAGUCCACGCCGUAAACGAUGCUAACUCGUUUUUGGAUUUUCGGAUUCAGAGACUA
rnacentral:rRNA from 1 species